GGCGGCCUACGGGACGCAGCAGUGAGGAAUAUUGGUCAGUGGCCGCAGGGCUGAACCAGCCAAGUCGCGUGAGGGAUGACGGUCCUAUGUAUUGUAAACCUCUUUUGUCAGGGAGCAAAGGGCGCCACGUGUGGCGCUUUGCGAGUACCUGAAGAAAAAGCAUCGGCUAACUCCGUGCCAGCAGCCGCGGUAAUACGGAGGAUGCGAGCGUUAUCCGGAUUUAUUGGGUUUAAAGGGUGCGCAGGCGGAAUGUCAAGUCAGCGGUAAAAUUUCGGGGCUCAACCCCGUCGUGCCGUUGAAACUGG
rnacentral:rRNA from 1 species